UCCAGCCGCUCAGGCCGUGAAGUAAGAUGGCCGCGUAAGUUUAUACCGCGGGUUACGUGAAGGGGCGCGGCCAUCUCCUGAGAGACCCUCCUGGAAAGCAAGGAGCCUAAAGCUCAGUGGACAUCAAACAGUCGCUGGGGAGAGGCUGGCUGGAGUCUGGAGGAAGAUCUGGCCAAGGGACUUCCAGAGGCACCAAGAAACCUGGACUGGGGUACAGGCCAGAGAUGUGGAGGCUGAGAGGAUUCACCAUAUACAGAGUGGAGAACAAAACAGGCAGAUCGACUGAAAACACUGCUGAGGGGAGCAGUGGGGAAGCAGCCACAGGGAGGACUGAUUACCUCCUGCAGUACUGAAAACCAUGGCCCAGGGGUCAGUGGUAUUCAGUGAUGUGUCAGUAGACUUCUCCCAGGAGGAGUGGGGGUGCCUGGACCCUGUACAGAGAGCCUUGUACAGAGAUGUGAUGUUGGAGAACUACAGCAACCUACUUUCAGUGGGACUUUACAUUCCUAAGCCUCAAGUUAUCUCCCUGUUGGAACAAGGAAAAGAGCCCUGGAUGCUUGGCAGGGAGCUGACAAGAGGCCUGUGUUCAGAUCUGGAAUCAAUGUGUGAAACCAAGUUAUUAUCUCUAAAGAAGGAAGUUUAUGAAAUAGAAUCAUGCCAGAGGGAGAUAAUGGGACUUACAAAGCAUGGCCUUGAGUACUCCCGUUUUCGGGAUGUUUUGGAAUAUAGAAGCCACUUUGAAAGCCAGCUGGGAUAUCCAAAUGGGAAUUUCAGCCAAGAGAUACUCACUGAUGAGUACAUGCCCACACUCAUUCAACAGACAUUCUUCACUCUGCAUCAAAUAAUGAAUAAUGAACAGAAGCCUUAUGAAUGUAAGAAGUGUGGGAAAGUCUUUAGUCAGAAUUCACAAUUUAUUCAACAUCAGAGACUGCAUAUUGCUGAAAAAUCUUAUGAAUGUAAGGAGUGUGGGAAAUUCUUUAGUUGUGGCUCACAUGUUGCGCGGCAUCAAAAAAUUCACACUGGUGAAAAACCCUUUGAAUGUAAGGAAUGUGGAAAGGCCUUCAGUUGUAGCUCGUACCUGUCUCAACAUCAGAGAAUUCACACUGGUAAAAAACCUUAUGAAUGUAAGGAAUGUGGAAAGGCCUUUAGUUACUGCUCAAAUCUUAUUGACCAUCAGAGAAUUCACACAGGUGAAAAACCCUAUGAAUGUAAAGUGUGUGGGAAGGCCUUUACUAAGAGCUCACAGCUUUUUCAACAUGUGAGAAUUCAUACAGGUGAGAAGCCCUAUGAAUGUAAGGAAUGUGGCAAAGCUUUUACACAGAGUUCAAAACUUGUUCAGCAUCAGAGAAUCCACACAGGUGAGAAACCCUACGCAUGCAAAGCAUGUGGGAAGGCCUUUAGUAGUGGCUCAGCGCUUACCAACCACCAGCGGAUUCACACUGGUGAGAAGCCCUAUGAGUGUAAGGAGUGCGGAAAGGCCUUUACUCAGAGCUCACAGCUUCGACAGCAUCAGAGAAUUCAUGCUGGUGAGAAACCCUUUGAAUGUCUGGAAUGUGGAAAGGCCUUUACUCAGAACUCGCAACUUUUUCAACAUCAGCGAAUUCAUACAGAUGAAAAGCCAUAUGAAUGUAGUGAAUGCGGAAAGGCCUUUAAUAAAUGCUCAAAUCUUACUCGGCAUCUAAGAAUUCAUAGUGGCGAAAAGCCCUAUAACUGCAAAGAUUGUGGGAAGGCCUUCUGUAGUGGCUCAGAUCUCAUUCGCCAUCAGGGAAUUCAUACUGAUGAAUAAUGAAAAUGAAAACUCUUGUCACUUUCCUAAUAUUUUAUUUUUUAAAGAUUUAUUUCCUAUAUAUACAUAUUUUUUUUUUGUGGGACCCUCGCCGGUGGCGGGGGAACGAACCUCUCAACUGCUGUGCCACCAGGGGAAGCCCUAUUUCCUAAUAUUUUUAAACAGAGAAUUCCUGUUUGAUAGUUACUCUUUUUCACUGUUGUUUCUGAACUUUUUAAAUAUAAAUAUAUUUCACUCUAAAUUUUGAAUUCAAAUUCUAAAUUGACAUUUGCCUUCCGCCCAAACCCCACACUUACACGAAUGGCAGAUGUUCAGUAAUUCCUCUCUUAUUGUUAUUCUCUACCGUUUUGAUGAUACCUUCUAUUUAUAUUUGCAUGCGUUUCAGGGCUGUCUUUUCUGAUCUAUCUAUUUGUGCUUGCACCAAUAUCACACUGUUUAAAUUGUGUGAUUUUUUUUUUUAUGUUCCUUGUAGAAUUAUGACUUUUUGAAGUCAGUGUUCAUCUUUUUGUUUCAUUUCACGUAUUUAUAUUUUCUUAUUGUAAAACACUAUCAAAAAGCAAAGGCUUAUUUUAAUCUUAUCAGUUACAGAUAACUACUCUCAGAUGGUAGAGCAAAUCCUCUGAGCCUUUGAUUUUAAAGAAAGUCAUCAUGGUUCGCAUGUUGUGUGCUCACUUGCUUUCAUCAUGCCAAGAAAUUUGGUUGCCAUUUUAGUGAAUAUAUAUAUAUGUAUUAUUCUGAUGACAUUUAAUAACUUGAAAAUGAAUUUAUUUUUUGUGUUAUGGAUGCAUUGAAGUUUUUGCCGUUAUAGAUUCUGUUCUGAUUAAUAUGACCCAACAUUUAUUUCUGGGUGCUUGUUUUUUCUUUUAAAGCAUUUAUUCUAAUGGCUAAAAUCAUCUACAUUUUUUCCUUGUAAACUGUUUUCUUCCUUUUUAUUAACCCGAAUUCCAACCCCAUACCGCUGUUAUCACACUAUUGUUUAUUUUCUAGGUUUUUUUUUUCCUUUUUUUUUUUAAAGACUUACUUAUGCAUACAAGAGCUGGGGUGCAGGCCCAAGAUGCGAUGUUGAGGGUGAGAAGAUUCACCAGAGACAGAGAGGGGAGCAGAACAGGCAGACUGACCGAAGUACACUGCUGAGGGGAGCAGCGGGAGAGACAGGAGAGGUCUGCUGUGCCAUGUGGGUCACCUCCCUGGCCUGGGGUCAAACUAGUGCUGCAGCGAGUGUUGAUAGCUUCAUAGUGCUGUGUCUUAACCCCUUGCACCACCAGGGAGGCCCCCCCCCUUUUUUUUUUUACCUUUUAACAUAUGUUAAUGGCAUUUUACUUCUCAUGUAUCUUUAUAUAUAAUCUUGCUGUAUGUUUAGUUUGUUGUGAGAGUUAAAUGAAUUAAUAAAUGUAAAGUGCUUAGAACUGUUCCUAUCACGGUAAGGUUUUUUACUUUAUCAUUGGUACACUCAUUUUCAUAAUUAUUAUUUGUCAAAAAGAUUUUAGCCAUGUUGUUUAUCUUUGUAUAAGUCAAUGAAUUCAGUUAAAAAAAAGAAAUGUAUGUAAUCAGGAUAGCAAAGUUUUUCUACAUCAUUCUGCAUGGGAUCUCUAUAGGAAAAGAAAAAGUAUGUUUCUGUUGUCUUCAGACAUCAUCUUUUAUGCUGCUCAAAGACUAGUGUCAGUCUAAAAUCUUGUGACUAUAAUAAUAGAAAGUUCAAAGCACGGCAGUUGAAAGGCAGGAAGAGAUCAUAAUAUUUUCUUAGUAAUUUGUUCUCAAAAAAAGCAGAGCACAUUUGAUCACAAUGGGAGAAACAGUAACCAUAGGAUAUACAUUAAAUGUCUGAAUAUUCCAUGUCCUCAUGAUUAACAUGAGUUAAGAUUUGCAAUUAUAUUAAGUUUGCUUUAUUAUAACAAAUGUACAUUUGCUUUAUAGAUACAGCCUCUCAGCCUGAUAUUCUCUUCAGAGUGUGUUCACCGUCCCCAGCCUGUUGCCUUUCAGUCCCUCCAUUUCAUUUAUGUUCCGUACAGCACCAGGCCUGACUUGGGGUUACUGGAAAUUCUGUUAACAAUUAUUCCACAUUCAUGGAUAUGAAAUCCUUGGUGAGCUGUGUCACCGGGACUGGAGCUGGGUGCUGGACUGACCCUCCAUCCAGCUGACACCGUGGUGAUCUUCAUGGUCAUUUGCUAUUUCAGCAGGAAAUAUUUCUGCAAGAAAUUUGCUAUUAUCUUGCAAGAACAGCAGGAUGGACUUGUAACAAUGGGUCAAAACUACCCCUCCCCAUUUUACUUCAUUAUUAUUUUUAAAGAUAUAUCUAUUUAUGCAUACAAGAACUGGGGUAUAAGCCAGAGGUGGGAGCGGGAGGAUUCACUAGCGUCAAAGUGGGGAACAGAACAAGCAGACUGACCGAAAUACACUGCUGAGGGUAGCAGCAGGCCAGACAGAAAAGGUCUGCUGUGCUACAUGGGUCAGCUUCAAGGCUGGCCAGGGAUGGAAGUUGGAUCAAACUCGUGCUGCAGAGGUUGGGGAUAGCUUCACAGUGCUGUGCUUAACCCCUUGGGCCACCAGGGAGGGGCCCCUCCUGUUUUAAAUGAGAAAAAAAAAAAAAGCAUCUUUUGUUAAGUUAACCGGUUGUGUUUCAAAGCGCAGGCUCAGAAGAGUGAUCACUUCACUGUCCUCAAGAUGACAUCUUAUUACCUGGACCGAAAAUAGCCACGAAGACGGACAGACCUGUCUUCUGAGUUUGCCCUUCGCCAAGGAGAGCACUCGGGGGCCAAGGAAGAUGGCCACGGGGCUCCUGAGAACCAAAGAAGAGCUGGCGUGAGGGGAAGAGCCCUGGGUAGAAGAGAAACAGCAACUGCUGGGCCUCUAUCCAGGUAAGUGUGACUCAGGGUGGACUGAACUCUGCCCUUUGGUGGACACCACAGGAGGAGGCAUUUCUCAGAUGCUAGAAGGAAGCUCUUCUCUGGGUCUGCCAGGUCCCUGGGAAGGCUGCCUGGAGUGGCCUCUCUUCCAGACUGUUCUCCCCAGGUGAUGGAGGGACUUCCCUUGUUUCCUAGUUUCUUUUUUUCUUUUUUUAAAGAUUUAUUUAUGCAUACAAGAACUGGGGUGCAGGCCAGAGGUACAGGGGGUGAGAAGAUUCACCAGAGACAGAGUGGGGAGCAGAACAGGCAGAUCGACUGAAAUACACUGCUGAGGGGAGCAGCAGGCAAGAUAGGAGAGGUCUGCUGCACCAUGUGGGUCAGCACUCUGGCCGGGGA